rnacentral:rRNA from 1 species
AUCAGCUUUCGACGGUAAUGUAUUGGCUUACCGUGGCAGUGACGGUUAACGGGGAAUUAGGGUUCAAUUCCGGAGAGGGAGCCUGAGAAACGGCUACCACAUCUAAGGAAGGCAGCAGGCGCGCAAAUUACCCAAUUCUAAUAGCAUAAGAGAGGUAGUGACAAGAAAUAACAGUACAAGGCAGUUUAAAUGCUUUGUAAUUGGAAUGAUAGAAAUUUAAAUACUUUUUAAAGUAUCAAUUGGAGGGCAAGUCUGGUGCCAGCAGCCGCGGUAAUUCCAGCUCCAAUAGCGUAUAUUAAAAUUGUUGCAGUUAAAAAGCUCGUAGUUGAAUUUUUGCUAAAAAUAACCGGUCUGCUUUUAUUAAUAAAGGUGGCAUCUUGGUGUGUUUUUAGCAAUAAUGUCCUUUGAAAUGUUUUUUACUUUAUUGUAAAAGACAAUUUUCAGGAUUUUUACUUUGAGAAAAUUAGAGUGUUUCAAGCAGGCUAACGUUUUGAAUACUGCAGCAUGGAAUAAUAAAAUAGGAUUUUAGUUCUACGUUAAUGGUUUUAAGAGCUAAAUUAAUGAUUGAUAGGAGCAGUUGGGGGCAUUUGUAUUUAACUGUCAGAGGUGA